ensembl:lncRNA
UGGGAAGAGAGGAAGAGUGGUACUGGGAAGAGAGGAAGAGUGGUACUGGGAAGAGAAGAGUGGUACUGGGAAGAGAAGAGUGGUACUGGGAAGAGAGAGAGUGGUACUGGGAAGAGAGAGAGUGGUACUGGGAAGAGAGGAAGAGUGGUACUGGGAAGAGAGGAAGAGUGGUACUGGGAAGAGAAGAGUGGUACUGGGAAGAGAGAGAGUGGUACUGGGAAGAGAGAGAGUGGUACUGGGAAGAGAGGAAGAGUGGUACUGGGAAGAGAGGAAGAGUGGUACUGGGAAGAGAAGAAGAGUGGUACUGGAAAGAGAGGAAGAGUGGUACUGGAAAGAGUGGUACUGGAAAGAGAAGAAGAGUGGUACUGGAAAGAGUGGUACUGGGAAGAGAAGAAGAGUGGUACUGGAAAGAGAGGAAGAGUGGUACUGGGAAGAGAAGAAGAGUGGUACUGGAAAGAGAGGAAGAGUGGUACUGGGAAGAGAGGAAGAAUGGUACUGGAAAGAGAAGAAGAGUGGUACUGGGAAGAGAAGAAGAGUGGUACUGGAAAGAGAGGAAGAGUGGUACUGGAAAGAGUGGAAGAGUGGUACUGGAAAGAGAAGAAGAGUGGUACUGGGAAGAGAGGAAGAGUGGUACUGGGAAGAGAGGAAGAGUGGUACUGGGAAGAGAAGAAGAGUGGUACUGGGAAGAGAGGAAGAGUGG